rnacentral:miRNA from 1 species
UGACCUUCCUGCAUCCCGUUCAU